rnacentral:rRNA from 1 species
AGGGUUUGAUUAUGGCUCAGGAUGAACGCUGGCGGCGUGCCUAAUACAUGCAAGUCGAACGCAGUCCUUAGGGACUGAGUGGCGAACGGGUGAGUAAAAGAUAAGGAACCUGGCUCCUGAAGGGGGAUAGCGUCUGGAAACGGACGGUAAGACCGCGUAGGCAAUAUGGACGCAUGUCGAUAUUGUUAGAUAUGCCAAGGCAUAGACAGGAGAUGGACUUAUCACGCAUUAACUGGUUGGCGGGGUAAAGGCCCACCAAGGCGACGAUGCGUAGCCGGCCUGAGAGGGCGGACGGCCACACUGGGACUGAGACACGGCCCAG